GUAACUUUACAGUUGCAUAUGCAUGCGCAUGGGACGCCUCAUAGGAAAGGCUGAUUGACAGUCUGCAGUCUUUGCGGUUGAGCAAGAGAUAAAUCAAAAACUUAUAUUUGCCAUUAGGGCCAGAAGGACUAUGUAUGUACUUCAACUCUGUCCAUAAUCAAGUGAUGGUUUGUCUUGUUUUGUGAAUGGACUGAAGAGUUCAUCCGCCACUCCGUCAUAUGAUGCCAUGAAGCUUGGCUAGAUUCUUAAAGCAUUAAGCUUGGCCAAUUCCUGCUCAAGCAAAAAAAUAUUAACAAAGGAAGAGAGGCUGUAGACUAGAACUUGAUUUCAUGAAUUUUGAACUUCAAAUUCAAUCACCAGUGUCACAUUUGUGAUCUAUUCUAGAUAUAUUAAGUAUUUACCCAAUGCAGUGGGGACUUGUUGACAGGCUUGAUGAGAGGAAACGGAGGAAAGAUUUCAUUCUGGAAAGAAAUUUACUUUACCCAGAUCCAUUUGAGGUUAACCUUUCACAGGAGGAGAGGGCAAUAUAUGACCGUUACAAGGUCUUCAUGAGGUUCCACUCAAAAGAAGAGCAUGAAGAG
rnacentral:lncRNA from 1 species